AGCAGUUCUCAGGUGAUGCACCCUGGAAUUGGGCUCCCUCCUCUCUGGUUCUGGGGUGCGUCACCCAAGAACCGCU
rfam:Myotis brandtii contig227857, whole genome shotgun sequence.